AGUCGACGGUAACAGGACUUCGGUCGCUGACGAGUGGCGCACGGGUGAGUAACGCGUGGGUUACCUGCCCAUAAGUGGGGAACAACUUGGAGAAAUCCAAGCUAAUACCGCAUAAUACCUUCGGGUUAAAGAGGGGGAUCUUCGGACCUCUCGCUUAUGGAUGGUCCCGCGUCUGAUUAGCUAGUUGGUAGGGUAAUGGCCUACCAAGGCAAUGAUCAGUAGCUGGUCUGAGAGGAUGAUCAGUCACACUGGAACUGAGACACGGUCCAGACUCCUACGGGAGGCAGCAGUGGGGAAUUUUGCACAAUGGGCGAAAGCCUGAUGCAGCGACGCCGCGUGCGGGAAGAAGGCCUUCGGGUUGUAAACCGCUUUCAACAGGGAAGAAGGAAUGAGAGCUAAUACCUCUCUGCCUUGACGGUACCUGUAGAAGAAGCACCGGCUAAUUUCGUGCCAGCAGCCGCGGUAAUACGAAAGGUGCAAGCGUUGUUCGGAUUUACUGGGCGUAAAGAGAUCGUAGGUGGCUUGUUAAGUCGGAUGUGAAAUCCCGGGGCUCAACCCCGGAACUGCAUCCGAUACUGGCAGGCUUGAGUUUGGGAGGGGUAAGCGGAAUUCCGUGUGUAGCAGUGAAAUGCGUAGAUAUACGGAGGAACACCUGAGGCGAAGGCGGCUUACUGGACCAAUACUGACACUGAGGAUCGAAAGCGUGGGUAGCAAACAGGAUUAGAUACCCUGGUAGUCCACGCCCUAAACGAUGUCAACUAGCCGUUGCGGGUAUCGACCCCUGCAGUGGCGCAGCUAACGCGAUAAGUUGACCGCCUGGGGGAGUACGGUCGCAGAUUAAAACUCAAA
rnacentral:rRNA from 1 species